rnacentral:rRNA from 1 species
GUGGGGAAUUUUGGACAAUGGGCGAAAGCCUGAUCCAGCCAUGCCGCGUGCAGGAUGAAGGCCUUCGGGUUGUAAACUGCUUUUGUACGGAACGAAAAGACUCCUUCUAAUAAAGGGGGUCCAUGACGGUACCGUAAGAAUAAGCACCGGCUAACUACGUGCCAGCAGCCGCGGUAAUACGUAGGGUGCAAGCGUUAAUCGGAAUUACUGGGCGUAAAGCGUGCGCAGGCGGUUAUAUAAGACAGAUGUGAAAUCCCCGGGCUCAACCUGGGAACUGCAUUUGUGACUGCAUCGCUGGAGUGCGGCAGAGGGGGAUGGAAUUCCGCGUGUAGCAGUGAAAUGCGUAGAUAUGCGGAGGAACACCGAUGGCGAAGGCAAUCCCCUGGGCCUGCACUGACGCUCAUGCACGAAAGCGUGGGGAGCAAACAGGAUUAGAAACCUGGUAGUCC